AUGGUGUCACCCGUAGCUGGUUCGGCCAUCGGUCCACGGUGGUCGAGGCAAGAGGGAACCCGGUGUGAUUCCGGGGCUGCCCCGCAGCGGUGAGUGGGAACGACCGCCGUCAACGAAGCACUGGGCCCGGCCGGGCCUGGGAAGCGACGGCCAGUAGGCACCGAGCAUGACGCCCGCGAGUCCGAAGACCUGCCAGCGUGCCGCACGCGAC
rnacentral:ncRNA from 1 species